rnacentral:lncRNA from 1 species
AGGAACGGUACAGAAGGACAAGCAGGCCAGGAAGCCCACAGCUCCGUUUGAAAAGUGACAACUGCCUUGACAUUUACUCAGGCUCAGCCGCUCAUUUAGGGAGGAAGAGGCCUCAGUCUGAUGCAGAACUCACUAAUACUGUAAACCUUGCUAGCUUGUCUGCCCUGAUCGCCCGUAGCUGCUUUUUGAACUUAGAAUUAUAUGCAGGCUGCCAUGUCUCCCUGUCAUUUAAAGAAUCUCUUAUUCACGAAGAAAGCCAAAUAUUUAUUACAUUUGAAAGCUAGGAAGGCAGAAGAGAGAGAGAGAAAGUCAAGUACCUCCCAGAGACCUAACCAGGCCCCAAAUGAAGGAUUCUUGGCUGGUGAAAGAACGAAAAAAUGUCUUUGGACGCCUCUGCCAGCCUCAGUCAAAGUUUGCAUUUCCUUCACAGGAUGACAUUCUCUGCGAAGACACUGCUUGUGUAUGCAGAACGGAUGAGCCUCCUCUUGCUGGUCCUGGGGCACACACAUUCAGAUGGCUCUGUUGAAAUCUAACUCCAACUCCCUGCGUCCCCUUGACCAUCUUCCAAGAGAGUGGAUCCUUCCAAAGCCUCAAUUUUAGCUCAAGUCUGAGAUGAUUUCAAGCUCUCAACUUGUGUGUGUGUGUGUGUGUGUGUGUGUGUGUGUGUGUGUGUGUGUGUAAAUGUUAAAAGAAGACUAUAAAGAAUGGACCCAUUCCUCUGUGGAUCCAACCUUCUGUUUCCCUAGUAACAUUAGAAAGAAAAAUAGCACAAUUUCCCCUCCUUGGGAUUUAAAACAUCACAUGGAAAAUAGAAGUAUCACCUUUGCUUUAUUCAAGUCCUUUGAUGAAGAAGAACUUCCUCUUGGUCGAAAGAAUGACACUUGAGUUAUACUUGUGACUCUAAUGGAGACAUGACAUCCUGAUCUUUUCCAAAGAUUAGAAUAUUACGUAGUAUUGUUUUCUCCUUUAAGAGGAAACCAGUAUAUAAGGCUUGAAGAAAGAAAUUGAGCUAGAACUAACCAGGAAGCCUCUUGCCAAAGGUGAGCUUUCAUUGUAUCUGAAGAUGUUAUAUAAGUUUCCAAGGUAGAAAAGCAGUCAAUAGUACUACCCUAGUGUAAAGGCUAUAGAUCACAUCAGUGAAUAUCAUGGGAAGACAACCCCAAGGGCACUUAGGUUUAGGGAAAACCAGUAGCCGUCCAAUUGGACUUAAGGCUCUCUUAGUAGGUAAGAUCCAUUCUGGGGACUCCAAACCUAGCCAACUACAGGUGCUGGGAAGGUCAUGGACCUAAUGGAGAAUCUGCUAUUGCCACUUUUCUAAGCCAGUGCAAUUUCUAAUGAAAUUCUAAGUAGGAACUCUAAAUUGAACUCUAAUAAGGAAUGUUUCCUUAUUUUGAAUAAGAAUCUCUUACCUAUCAACAAAGAAAAAAAUUCUUUUCAUCAGAUGGAGACUAUUACAAAAAUCUACAGCCAGUCACAUAAAGAUACCAGUUGACUCGGGAGUGCCUAACACAAACUGAUACAUGUACAGUACAGUUCCUACACCCCAGGCUCAGGAAGCACCCCAGAAAAUGUGGCAGAAAUACUGAAAGAACCAGAGACCAGGACAUCUGCUGUGAGAUGGUAUCUUCUAUAUAUUAUAGAGAAGCUGUACCCAUGGAAUCUCAAAAAUAUGGUUGCGUGGGCAGGAUCUCCACAAAGACAACACGAGUUGACAUUCCAGUGUAGAUAGGAGAAAUAUCAAAUUAUCAAAAUAUAAAUUCCCCUAAAGGAAAAUAUGGGCAAUUAAUGGAUGCUGAGAGAGGAAGAAUCAGGCCUCUCCUUGGGCAAGCCCCUAUGUUACCCAGUCCCAAGCAGUCAUCCCUAAAGAAAUAUAUACACAAGCAGCACUAAACAGAUCCAUAAAGCUGGAUUUAUAUAUAUAUAUAUGUGUGUGUGUGUUUAUAUGUGUAGUAAUAAUUAAAGAAGAGUUGGGGGACAUGGGAGGUGUUGGAGGAGGAGAAAGAACCAUGCAAAUGACAUAAAUAUAGUACUCAUGUAUGCAAUUCUCAAUACAAAAUUCAAAGAGAAAAAUCACAGUUAAUCUACCUGGAUCUGUCAAUUACUUGCCCUGAAAACUACACCUCAAGAAACAGAGUCAUCUGAAGGCACACUAAAGAGAUGGGAAGAGUAGCCACGCUCUUCAUGAUGCAGCACAGAAUGCGGAGUACCGUCUCGUCGGGAGCGUCCAUCCUGCAGCCCUGCUAGCCCUACCCAACCCUAGUUCUCUGUUCUAACUGAACAGAGUCUAACCUUUUUCUAUUUCUUCUUAUUUCCUUUUCUUGCGAUACUGCCUAGACCUCUAAUUAUGCUUUACUUCAGGGCUUUGGCACUCUUUCUCUGAAGCCCCUGACCUUCUGCAUUGCAGCCUCAUGCUACCCUGCUGAACAUUGCUAAUGUUGCUGAACAUGCUGCCAUCCCUAACUCAGAUGCAUGACUUUCUUUCUUCCUUACCUCGAAGUAGUUACUGAGAUUUUCAGCCUGCCUGUAUUGUUGCUUUUCUCUCAAACUCUAAUAAAAUUGCCCUCUAACUU